UACUGGCAAACCUGAAACAAGUGAAGUAGAUGUUUUGUUUUAUAGAAAAAUUUUGCUGACUCUCAUGCUUUCAGGGAUGGGCAUGAGGAGGGGCACACUGGAAGAAUUUGCAAGGUCUAUUAUAGGUAAGCCCGAUGAUGCUGUCUACAUCCUCUGCUGAAGAAGAAGAGACCUGUGCUACGGA
rnacentral:lncRNA from 1 species